AACACAAAGGCUCUCAGGAGAUGCAGCUGCCUAAGAUACUGGAACUGUGAGCUAUAUAACCUUCCUUUCUUUACAACGUAUCCAGCCCUAAGUAUUUUGUUACGGCAAAUCAGACAAAUAGAAGGACUAGUAUUUACUCGGCCUUUUCUUAUGAGGUAAUUCUUCAGGACAGGCACGUUUUCAUCUUUGUACUCUGGGCUUAUCGUACAUAGGCUGACCCUACAUAGGUUUGUGCUUAUCCACUACUCUUCUUGUUUUUUUGUCAGUGAUGGGGGCUUCCGUAUGGUAGGCAAACACUGUAUGACUGAGCUACAUCUCCAUGUCUCACGGUCUUGAGUGACAAAUGCAGCCUGCUUCAGUUUGAAUGUGGUUUGAGUGUUCCCUUAAAGGUUUAUGCUGGAAGCUACGCCCCCUAGUGGGCCAGUAAAGGAUGACAUAGAACAUUUGAGAGUAGUGCAGUGGCCCGGAGAUGGUCAGUGGUUUGUUAGGGGUAAUUCACUUGGAGGGGAUUCAGGGACUUUUCAGUGGUUUGUGGUGAAAGUCUAAUUCUCUCUCUGGCUUCUUGUCUGGCAGUAUGGUGGCCUCUGCCAUGAGGUCUCUCUAGGACCCAACAGAUACUGACACAUGCCCUUGAAUCUCUAGAGACUCGUGAUCUCUGCCUCCUGUGACAUCCCAGCCUGGGGCUCCAUGGACUCCCUCUUUUCCUAACCUCUCAUCGGGAAGAUAAAUCAACCCCAUUCCCCUGUGGUCUACUCCCUCGGCAAUACUUAACUCGUUUACCACAGCUUAGCUUACAAGUGUGCCUUUUUUUUUUCCAGACAGUCCACAAACGCACUGAUAAAGCAAAUAUUCUCUUAUGAGCCCUGUGCUCUGCUUUCAAUAAAUGUGUUCAGUACAGAUU
rnacentral:lncRNA from 1 species